rnacentral:rRNA from 1 species
UACGGAGGAUCCGAGCGUUAUCCGGAUUUAUUGGGUUUAAAGGGAGCGUAGGUGGAUUGUUAAGUCAGUUGUGAAAGUUUGCGGCUCAACCGUAAAAUUGCAGUUGAAACUGGCAGUCUUGAGUACAGUAGAGGUGGGCGGAAUUCGUGGUGUAGCGGUGAAAUGCUUAGAUAUCACGAAGAACUCCGAUUGCGAAGGCAGCUCACUGGACUGCAACUGACGCUGAGGCGCGAAAGCUGGGGGAGCGAACAGG